CAAUUUCACUAUAAUUAGGCCCACGACAUGGCCACUACGGGGCGCGCCCAUCAAUCUCUCAUCAGCACCAGCAGCGGCGCAGGUCAUAUGUUGGCCACGGCGUAAGCAACCCUCAAAGGUCCGUCGGCUGUUUAAGCAGCCGGGCACAUGGGAUUAGCACCCCCUAGUGGUAGGGCAGAGCUGAGCGUCUGGCAUGCGGACAGGUGACAGCUGCCAGCAGGAGCCUGAAAGUACAGGUACCUCCAGACUCUCCACGUUUUUGCUCCCUCCCAGCUCCCACACAGACAGUCCAUAUUUUAUCAAAGACGUGGACUGUCGGGUCCCCGAGAACCGGG